CAAAAAAUCACAUUAGUGAGUAUUUUAGGUGCCGUAAAAACCUUCCUAAAAUAUAAAUACGAACCCCCGAACCCUUUUUAAGUUAUCUCUAGGUUUUCCUGUUUAAAUAUUUGAAACUAAGUUUUUCUUGAUUUUUCCUUUAAAAAUUAAGUGACGACUCUAACAAGUCUAAAACAAUAAAAUAUUUUUUUUCUGGAAAUAAAACAUUCAUCAUUGCACAAAAUGCAAAAGAAGUGUAUUACGCUCCAUAUUCAUUGCGUAAAGACAAAGUUGAUUGGUGAAUUGUUAUAAAUACUAAACAUAUGAGAAGAAUUUCAAUUGACAAUGUCUUAGAUGUGGUGUACCAAAAUGAGGUUUCAAUUUUUCAGCAACAAGUUGGUGUUGAAUUGGAAACAACACUAGAACAGCCUCAACAUAUAUUAGAAGAAGUAUCUGAUGAUGAGAUUAUGAUAAAUGUUGAGGAAGAAAUAAAUGAGGAUUAGGAAAAAUGACAAUGAAAAUGAAACAACUUUGGAGGAAGAAUGGGAGAAUGAUGGAAAUGAAACAAGCUAGGAUAAAUAAAAGUAGAAUGAUAGACUUGAAAUCUAGUAUGUAAGUUAUUUAUUUCCCUAAUACUAAUUAUUUUUAAUUUAUGAAUUUUCUAUAUUAUCAAGGUAAAUUUGUAUGUAGAUGUCAUCAGGGGGUGAGAAUGAUAGAUGUCGUGAGCAUCUCUAAGUUAUUCAGCCUAAUAGACUAAAAGUAAGAAGUUUAGGAGACCUAUAGAUUUUGAGGUUAUUUCGGGAUUUCUUCCUUCAGCGCCGCAGCGCAUUACUCACGAUACUCAUUCAUUUGUUGUUCCAUUUGGUACGGAGGAUCCUCGAUAAUAUUAUCCUAAUUAUCGUCGAUUAGUUAGUGCUCCCUCUUCUUCAGAGUCACUGCCUCCACGACGCUACGACGGCCUACCUUUACAAGCUAUUCGUCGAGCACGAUCCUUAUUGGCUUCCCGUACUCCAUCUCCCAUAGGUGCAUCUCCUUAGCUAUCUGCCACGAGGAUUAGAGAUUCUAGUAGUGAGCAGUUCGAUGUUGUGGCCGGUACAACAUCAUUGACUCAACAUUAUGUGCAUCCUUGUGUAUCGCCUACACCUACACCAGAUGUGACGUCUAUUGUAGCACCGGAACAGAGGGACAGGAUUGGCAGGGUCAUGAUUGAGCCAGAGGGAUCAUCGUGGCAUCAUACAAAGGAUUCUGCCCACGCUUUAAAAGACCUUGUAAGAAGGUUAUUUACACAGCCUUAUCACUCCUGGAGUGAGAUCCCAAACAAUAUAUGUCAGGUGAUGUUUUAAUGAAUUCAAGACUAUGUGUACUUGGGGAUCGAAGUGUAAUAUGGUUAUUACAAGUACAUUUGAGAGGAGGACAUCCGCGAGACUGUCUAGCUGGCUAAUGAAAUCCCGGGAUACUGAUAAGUGUCCGGGUUGAAUGUUGCCUCAUGUGAUAGAUUGAUUGCACCAAUAUUAAAACACAUAUAAAUUCAAGGCGAUGUCCAAACAAGUCAAAAAGCGUAGAGGCAGUCUUAAGGAUGACUCAUUGCAUACUGGAGGUGCAAAGAGUGUUGAAAUAAUUACAAGAGAGAUGGAAAAAGAAAUGGGGCGCAUUCCCCUUGUGUCAGAGGUUUUCAAGAAGACCCAUGCUUAGAAGAAAGAAUAUGAGUCAGAUCCGGAUGUGUGGGUGGAGGAAAGGGUCGAACGAACUUCUGUAUGUUAUUUAAUAUGAAUAAUCUAUAUUAAUAGUGAAUAUAUUUAUGAUAUGU